UCCCGAUCGAGGAACAGCGGAGCGACCGCAUACUCCAAUCCAUCCACUCCCGAUUUAGUCGAUUCCAAAAAAAGGUCCAGAUUCGAGGCGCAGCAAGAGCGACCGCGGUCGAAUCCAUCCAGUCCGGAUUCAAGGCGCAAAGAGGAGAAAAUCCAUCCAGUCUGUCCCGAUUCAAGGCGUUGCGGACCGACCACGUCGAAUCCAUCCAGUUCCAGUCCGUGAAUCGCCGUCCGGCUGUUCGGCUCAUGAAACUGCUUCCCAGGGGUUUCAAGGAAUUAAUCACUCUUCAGUUUCUCUUCAAGCAUUCAAAUGAUGUCCUGGCUCUUUGUGUGUCCGUCACGGUCAUUAGUGGAUGCCUGGCUCUUUGUUUCUCAUUCUUCCGCUGCGCAUAUAUGCUUCCUCUACGCUCACUCUUGUAACUCUGGCGACAGAACAUCCAUCAGCAUUCUAUCUUUAUUUUUUAUCAUCCAUGAGCGAUUUGUUUCUUCCACCCAACGAUUACUUGUAUCCUCCUAAUCUAAAUUUUGUACAGGUAUUUUUCAUACUGGGAGUUGGUCAAUUGAUUCGGCCAGAUAUUGGAAACUGGUUCUCGCAUUUUUUUAUUUCUGCAAUUCUUCUGGACAGAAAUGAGCAAAGCCCAAUAAUCUUGCAGAUAUUUGAAAGUAUGUGUGUGGAUUUUCAAGACACGGUACAAGCAUAAGGGGAGGGGCUAUUUUAGUUACGACCGUAGGGACAACGAGCAGGAAGAGUUGGGCAACUGGAGUGCUAGAUUCAGGACAAGUUUGCCGAAGCACUUUUAUUAGUUCCAUUGAUAAUACCAGGACUGGAGAACUGAAAGCCCUUGUAGAUACAAGCGGUGUGCUAUUAAACCAAAAAAAUUAAUUGCACAACAUAAUACUAUUACAUAGUUCGCGAGGCCGAUUUUCACAUGA